AUGCCAGUUCAAUGUGUCUGCUCAACUUGAAAGUGUUUUGCAGAGCAUAUUUUAAAAAUGACACUGGUAAAGUAAAGCCACAGUACGAGCCUUGAAGACUUGAUUGUCUUUGAGGUCCCAAGAGAUGGCUACAUCU
rnacentral:snoRNA from 1 species